UCUGGAUUCAAUUGUGCCGGCUCCGUAAAAAUUUAUGAUUAUAAAGAGAAGAGAUAAGCACCAAGCAAGCAAAAUUAAAGCUUCUCCUAUGGUCAUCUUUGAUCUGGGUGAGAGAAACGCGUAUCGAUGGAUUGGGUUCAGUUCUGGUCUCACACGGUUUGUUCUAACAAUUUGUACUGACUGUGUUUUGAUCGAUACGGGUCGCUCUCACCUAGGCCAGAGUUGCCCAAACUUUGAUAACACCAUUCAUUCAUCAAAAGCUCGUAAGUUCCUCAUCAAUUCCAGUUUCUCCAAUUCUGCUUUUUUUUAAUUUCACUGAAUUUACAUUUAGUGAAGUAAAAAAGGGGGGUGAAUUCAGAAUGGAAGCCCGAAUUGGAGAAGAGUGGUGGAUAACAACAAGAUUUGACUGAGAAGGCUGGGCUGACAAGUUCAAAUAGGGAAUUAGGUAUGCAUUACCCAAUUCUACUUCAUAUUCCAACUGCAAAAGUCAUGCCAAUAGAAGUCCAAAAGCUUCAGCUAUAUAUUUGAAAUCAUAAUUCAACGAUAAUUGGAUCUAUAUAAUGCAAAACAAUGUUUUGUUGAUUCAAUAAUCGAUCUGAUCUAAGCUAUGCUAUUUAUAUCUAUAAAGUCAGAGUUGAACAUGAAAGUUGUAAAAGCACCCCCUACUCCUUAAGAAGACAAGUUUUGCUAGGCUGCAAAUGCAAAGGCUGUCGUCUUUGGUCGAAACAUGUGUUUGUAUGUUGAUUGUGGGUGUGCUACUCUACCGUGUAAGGGAGGGCACAUGUAUGACAAGCAUUCUCUAUGCAUAAACUACUUAAAUAUGGCAUUUGCAAUGAGGAUGUCUACAAAGCAAUGGUUUUGUUACUUUGAUGAGUGUGACUUUGCUGGAUAUUUUUACCAGACUAUCCCAAUUAAUUUUUUUUAUGCAUCA